CCGGUGCUUAUUCUGCAGGUACCGUCAGUUUCACGGGGUAUUAACCCAUGACGUUUCUUUCCUGCCAAAAGUGCUUUACAACCCGAAGGCCUUCAUCGCACACGCGGGAUGGCUGGAUCAGGGUUUCCCCCAUUGUCCAAAAUUCCCCACUGCUGCCUCCCGUAGGAGUCUGGGCCGUGUCUCAGUCCCAGUGUGGCUGGUCGUCCUCUCAAACCAGCUACGGAUCGUCGGCUUGGUGAGCCGCCACCCCACCAACUAGCUAAUCCGAUAUCGGCCGCUCUAAUAGUGCAAGGUCUU
rnacentral:rRNA from 1 species